AUUGAACGCUGGCGGCGUGCUUAACACAUGCAAGUCGAUCGGUAACAGGUGUAGCAAUACAUGCUGACGAGAGGCGGACGGGUGAGUAAUGCUUGGGAAUCUGCCUAUUAGUGGGGGACGAACCCGGGGAAACGUCGGGCUAAUACUGGAUAUGACUCCAUGACGCAUGUUGUGGGGUGGAAAGCCUUGUGCGGCUGAGGAUGGGCCCGCGGCCUAUCAGCUUGUUGGUGGGGUGAUGGCCUACCAAGGCGACGACGGGUAGCCGGCCUGAGAGGGCGACCGGCCACACUGGGACUGAGACACGGCCCAGACUCCUACGGGAGGCAGCAGUGGGAAUCUUGCGCAAUGGGCGAAAGCCUGACGCAGCGACGCCGCGUGAGGGAUGACGGCCU
rnacentral:rRNA from 1 species